rnacentral:rRNA from 1 species
UACGAAGGGUGCAAGCGUUGUUCGGAAUUACUGGGCGUAAAGCGCGCGUAGGCGGGCUUGUAAGUCGAUUGUGAAAGCCCUGGGCUUAACCUGGGAAUGGCAGUCGAAACUGCAAGUCUUGAAUGUCUGAGAGGAUGGCGGAAUUCCCGGUGUAGUAGUGAAAUACGUAGAUAUCGGGAAGAACACCUGAGGCGAAGGCGGCUAUCUGGCGGUACAUUGACGCUGAUGCGCGAAAGCGUGGGGAGCAAACAG